UACGUAGGUGCAAGCGUUGUCCGGAAUUAUUGGGCGUAAAGAGCUCGUAGGUGGUCUGUUGCGUCCGCUGUGAAAACCCAGGGCUUAACCCUGGGCUGGCAGUGGAUACGGGCAGACUAGAGGUAGGUAGGGGAGAAUGGAAUUCCCGGUGUAGCGGUGAAAUGCGCAGAUAUCGGGAGGAACACCGGUGGCGAAGGCGGUUCUCUGGGCCUUACCUGACACUGAGGAGCGAAAGCGUGGGGAGCGAACAGG
rnacentral:rRNA from 1 species